CUAUCAGCUUUCGACGGUAUGGUAUUGGCUUACCGUGGCAGUGACGGUUAACGGGGGAUUAGGGUUCGAUUCCGGAGAGGGAGCCUGAGAAACGGCUACCACAUCUAAGGAAGGCAGCAGGCGCGCAAAUUACCCAAUUCUAACAGUUUGAGAGAGGUAGUAACAAGAAAUAACAAUACAAGGCAGUUAAAAUGCUUUGUAAUUGGAAUGAUAGAAAUUUAAACCCUUUUUAAAGUAUCAAUUGGAGGGCAAGUCUGGUGCCAGCAGCCGCGGUAAUUCCAGCUCCAAUAGCGUAUAUUAAAAUUGUUGCAGUUAAAAAGCUCGUAGUUGAAGUUCUGCUAAAAGUAACCGGUCUGCUUUUAAUAAAAGUGGUAUCUUGGUAUGUAUUUAGCAAUGAUGUCCUUUGAAGUGUUUUUUACUUUAUUGUAAUAAAGCAUAUUCAGGACUUUUACUUUGAGAAAAUUAGAGUGUUUCUAGCAGGCUGACGCUUUGAAUACUGCAGCAUGGAAUAAUAAGAUAGGAUUUUAGUUCUACAUUAUUGGUUUUAAGAGCUAAAUUAAUGAUUGAUAGGGACAGUUGGGGGCAUUUGUAUUUAACUGUCAGA
rnacentral:rRNA from 1 species